CAUCGCCUCUUGCAUAACCACAGUAUAAGAGGUCCCGCCUGCCCAGUGACAACUUAGUUCAACGGCCGCGGUAUUUUGACCGUGCAAAGGUAGCGUAAUCACUUGUCUUUUAAAUGAAGACCUGUAUGAAUGGCAUAACGAGGGCUUAACUGUCUCCUUCCCCUGGUCAAUGAAAUUGAUCUCCCCGUGCAGAAGCGGGGAUAAAACCAUAAGACGAGAAGACCCUAUGGAGCUUUAGACACACAGGUGGACCAUGUCAAAUACCCCCAGCUAAGGACCUGAACUAAAUGGAACCUGCCUUGAUGUCUUCGGUUGGGGCGACCAUGGGGAAUACAAAACCCCCACGUGGAAAGGGAGCACACCCCUAAGUUACUUCUUCUCCCGCAAGCCAGAGCAACAGCUCUAACAAGCAGAAAUUCUGACCAAACUGAUCCGGUAAAACCGAUCAACGAACCAAGUUACCCUAGGGAUAACAGCGCAAUCCCCUUUUAGAGCCCAUAUCGACAAGGGGGUUUACGACCUCGAUGUUGGAUCAGGACAUCCUAAUGGUGCAGCCGCUAUUAAGGGUUCGUUUGUUCAACGAUUAAAGUCCUACGUGA
rnacentral:rRNA from 1 species